rnacentral:rRNA from 1 species
UACGUAGGCAGCGAGCGUUGUUCGGAGUUACUGGGCGUAAAGAGUGCGUAGGCGGUUUUCUAAGUUUGGUGUGAAAUCUCCCGGCUUAACUGGGAGGGUGCGCCGAAAACUGGAAGGCUUGAGUAUGGGAGAGGUAAGCGGAAUUCCUGGUGUAGCGGUGAAAUGCGCAGAUAUCAGGAAGAACACCUAUGGCGAAGGCAGCUCUCUGGGACGGUACUGACGCUGAGGCGCGAAAGCUAGGGGAGCAAACGGG